rnacentral:tRNA from 1 species
GCAGAAAUAGUUUAAUAAGAAUGAAAAAUUGUCAAUUUUUUGGUGCUAAUAAAGUUUUCUGUU